AGGAACGUAUCAACGAGUGUGAUGAGAGAUGUCUUUCAGUUUUGUCAACUCUUUUAGAGGCGCUAGAGCCAUGCAAGAAUGUGCAUGUUCUUCGAGCAGGAUUGCGGAUACUAGUGAUCAGAAAGUCUGGAAAAUAGAACAUGUCUUCACAUUACAGACUGUGAUGAAAUAUAUUGGAAAAGAUGCACCAAUUGCUCUUAAAAAGAAAUUGGAGAUGAAAGCCUUGAGGAUUUGGACAGCUUUUCGCUUUGAAUAGCCAGCGCAUGUUGAGGUCCUGGCUGCUAUGGAUCACCGUCUGUUGUACUCCUGAAUGAGUGCAGUAAGGUGGUCAUAGAUAAUAUCCACGGUGUCCUUUUAAAAUAUUGAUCAGCAUCUUGCGGGCCUGCAAAGACCUCAGAUACGUAAUUCAGAUCUCUUUAAGGAAUAGCAGAUUAUGUGGCUACAACUUU